rnacentral:tRNA from 1 species
GCCUGGUUGGCUCAGUCAGUUGAGCGUCCGACUUCGGGUCAGGUCAUGAUCUCACAGUUCGUGGGUUCGAGCCCCACAUCCGGCU